CGGACGGGUGAGUAAUGUCUGGGAAACUGCCUGAUGGAGGGAGAUAACUACUGGAAACGGUAGCUAAUACCGCAUAACGUCGCAAGACCAAAGAGGGGGACCUUCGGGCCUCUUGCCAUCGGAUGUGCCCAGAUGGGAUUAGCUAGUAGGUGGGGUAACGGCUCACCUAGGCGACGAUCCCUAGCUGGUCUGAGAGGAUGACCAGCCACACUGGAACUGAGACACGGUCCAG
rnacentral:rRNA from 1 species